UGGGGAAUAUUGGACAAUGGGGGAAACCCUGAUCCAGCAAUGCCGCGUGAGUGAAGAAGGCCUUAGGGUUGUAAAGCUCUUUCGCCCGCGAAGAUAAUGACGGUAGCGGGAGAAGAAGCCCCGGCUAACUCCGUGCCAGCAGCCGCGGUAAUACGGAGGGGGCUAGCGUUGUUCGGAAUUACUGGGCGUAAAGCGUACGUAGGCGGAUGCGCAAGUUGGGGGUGAAGUCCCGGGGCUUAACCUCGGAAUUGCCCUCAAAACUGCACGUCUUGAGACCGAGAGAGGUAAGGGGAAUUCCUAGUGUAGAGGUGAAAUUCGUAGAUAUUAGGAAGAACACCAGUGGCGAAGGCGCCUUACUGGCUCGGUACUGACGCUGAGGUACGAAAGCGUGGGGAGCAAACA
rnacentral:rRNA from 1 species